rnacentral:rRNA from 1 species
CCUACGGGCGGCAGCAGUGAGGAAUAUUGGUCAAUGGGCUUACGCCUGAACCAGCCAAGUCGCGUGAGGGAAGACUGCCCUAUGGGUUGUAAACCUCUUUUGUCGGGGAGCAAAAGCCGGACGUGUCCGGCUGUUAGAGUACCCGAAGAAAAAGCAUCGGCUAACUCCGUUCCAGCAGACGCGGUAAUACGGGGGAUGCGAGCGUUAUCCGGAUUUAUUGGGUUUAAAGGGUGCGCAGGCGGAUUUUUAAGUCAGCGGUCAAAUCGUGGGGCUCAACCCCAUCCAGCCGUUGAAACUGGGGAUCUAGAGUGGGCGAGAGGUAUGCGGAAUGCGUGGUGUAGCGGUGAAAUGCAUAGAUAUCACGCAGAACCCCGAUUGCGAAGGCAGCAUACCGGUGCACAACUGACGCUCAGGCACGAAAGCGUGGGUAUCGAACAGGAUUAGAUACCCUUGUAGUC